rnacentral:ribozyme from 1 species
GUGUAAUCGAAACGAUGCGACAACGGUUUGGGGUACAAAGUAGUCAAGUCCGUAUGUGGGAUUGUCAUGGUGGGGUUCCGCAAAACUAUUU